GAUGAAGAACGUAGCGAAAUGCGAUAAGUAAUGUGAAUUGCAGAAUUCAGUGAAUCAUCGAAUCUUUGAACGCACCUUGCGCCCUUUGGCUAUUCCGAAGGGCAUGCCUGUUUGAGUAUCAUGAACACCUCAACUCCUCAUGGCUUGCCAUGAUGAGCUUGGACUUGGGGGUCUUGCUGGCCUGUGGUCAGCUCCUCUCAAAUGAAUCAGCUUGCCAGUGAUUGGUGGCACCACAGGUGUGAUAAACAUCUACGCUUGUGGUUCCCCACCAUGUAACCUUAGCGAUAGAGGUUCGCUGGAGCUCACAAAUGUCUUUCCUCAGUGAAGACAGCUCUUUGAUUGUUUGAUCUCAAAUCAGGUAGGACUACCCGCUGAACUUAAGCAUAUCAAUAAGCGGAGGA
rnacentral:misc_RNA from 1 species